CGGGAUGUGGCUCAGCUUGGCUAGAGCGCUUGGUUCGGGACCAAGAGGUCGCAGGUUCGAAUCCUGUCAUCCCGA
rnacentral:tRNA from 1 species